rnacentral:rRNA from 1 species
GCUAUAAACCUAGCCCAAAUAAACACGAAUUCUUCUUUAUAACUAACAAAUUCUAAUAAACCAUUCUAACAUUAUAGUAAAGGCGAUUGAAAAACUUAUUGGAGCUAUAAUAAAAGUACCGCAAGGGAACAGUGAAAUAUUUAAUAAACUCUAAGCACUUAAAAGUAAAGACUACCCCUUGUACCUUUCGCAUCAUGGUUUAACUAGUAUAAUCAAGCAAAACGUAUUUAAGUUUGACCCCCCGAAACUAAGUGAGCUACUUCAGGGCAGCUGUAAGAGCAAACCCGUCUCUGUAGCAAAAGAGUGGGACGACCCUCAAGUAGUGGUGAUAGACCUAACGAACUUAGUGAUAGCUGGUUACUCAAGAAACGGAUCUUAGUCCAACCUGAAACCACUUUUAGUUUACCAAAACAAAUCUUCGCUUUCAGUGUAAUUCAAAUAAGGUACAGCCUAUUUGAAACAGGGUACAACCUAAACCAGCGGAUAAGACUAGCCUCAUAAACAACCAAGUUGGCCUAAAAGCAGCCAUCUUUCAAACUGCGUCAAAGCUUAAUUGUCCUUACGCUUAAUCACUUAAUUAUUAUCCUAAUCCCUUAACAGUACUGAGUAAUUCCAUAAUGUUAUGGAAAAUUUUAUGUUAAAACUAGUAACAAGAAGAAGCCCCUUCUCUUAAAUGUCAGUGUAAAUCAGAAAGGACAAACCACUGAUACCUAACACACUUGAGCCUAAAGUAGUAACCAACCAAGAAAACCCUACCCUAUAUAACGUUAACCUGACACAAGCACAUUCUAAGAAAGAUUAAAAAAAUAAGAAGGAACUCGGCAAAAAUUAGCCCCGCCUGUUUACCAAAAACAUCGCCUCUUGAACCUAAUAAGAGGUCCAGCCUGCCCAGUGACUCUGUUCAACGGCCGCGGUAUCCUAACCGUGCGAAGGUAGCGUAAUCACUUGUUCUUUAAAUGAGGACUAGUAUGAAUGGCACCACGAGGGUUAUACUGUCUCCUUUUUUUAAUCAGUGAAACUAAUCUCCCCGUGAAGAAGCGAGGAUAAAACUAUAAGACGAGAAGACCCUAUGGAGCUUUAAACAAUAUAGCACUUACCACCUCACAUAAAACUUUCCGAAACAUCUAACUUUAUUGGGUAACAUGACUAUAAGUUUUUGGUUGGGGUGACCGCGGAGCAUAACAUAACCUCCAUGUUGAAAGAAUUUUAUUCUAAGCUAAGAAUCACCCAUCUAAGCAUCAACACUUUGACAUCCAUUGACCCAACACCUUGAACAACGAACCAAGUUACCCUAGGGAUAACAGCGCAAUCCACUUCAAGAGCUCAUAUCGACAAGUGGGUUUACGACCUCGAUGUUGGAUCAGGGUCUCCAAGUGGUGCAGCCGCUACUA